rnacentral:tRNA from 1 species
AGUAGAGUCAGCUAAUUAAGCUUUUGGGCCCAUACCCCAAACAUGUUGGUUAAAUUCCCUCCUCUGCUA